CCCCCCCCCCCCCACAAAGGUGCGGACUCCGGCCGCAAAACCUGAAACCAAAUGGGGGGGUUAGGGAGGGUGACUGGUGGUGGCUCCGGUGCGGGUCGUAGCCCCAGACCCCGGAUCCAACCAUGGCGUCGGGCUGAACGCCAUGCCUGGAUUGGGCACCGGCGCAGAAGAAGACUCCGGCCAUGGAGCUGGGCUGGCCGCCGUGCCUGGACUGGGCACCGGUGCUGAGGAAGGCUCCUGCCUUGGAGCUGGGCUGGUCGCCGUACCUGGACUGGGCACCGGCGCAGAGGAAGGCUUCGGCCAUGGAGCUAGGCUGGCCGCCGUUAGAUUUACCAAAUGGAGGGCGAGGGAGAGCUUUGUAAGCGUCUCUGUGUGUGGAGUACAGGCUGUGUAACGGGUGUCGUCAUCGGAUAAGGAAUAAUCGGACCAAAGCGCAGCGUGGAGGAUCAGAUGGUGACAGUGGUCUCAGCAGGGUCAAGCAUCCAGGAAAGACCAGUCUGACAGAGCGGAGGUGAAUUGUUGCAGAUACAACACUUCAUUCUCUCUGUGCAGCAAACACUGGACAAGCCAGAUGCUAUUUUAAGGCAGUCUGACAAACGUCGAAAGUUUAUUUCCAAACUGUAUCAAGGGUUGAUAGAGUCUUUUCCCGAUAACACAAAACAUGUAAAAAAAAAAAUGUGAGGAAGACCUGGGAGAAGCUAUUGAUGAUGACGAUGAAUGGAUACAGAUAUGUUUGCCCAGUCAUGUUCAUAUCAUCUCAGACAUAAAUGACUGCAGUUUAAGUCCAUCCAUAGAACAUACUAUUUGCCAUGGAAAUUGAAAUACAUGCGCUCAGAAAUGUAAGUCCUCUGCUGGAGUCGUAAAAAACACAAAAGGGGACAUAUGUUAUGGUCUUGUGAAGUCUGCCUGAAUUCUGGAAAAGAGUAUGCUCUUUUAUCUUGGCAUGUCUACAGAUUCUCCCUUCUCCCUGUUUUCCUUUGCUUGGAAAUAUUGAUACUGGAGACUGUUAUCUUAAGAAACUUUGUAACCAAGCAUUUAUAGUGGCUAAGAAAUGCUUUGCCCUUAUUUGGAAGGUUAAUUAUACUCCCACAAUGUCAAGUUAUGUAUCAUUAGAUUUGAUUUAUUACAAGAUUAAGAGUAUACUGGGCUACUUUCAUAAGGUCUGGAUUCCUUAUAUGGAAUACAGUAGGAAUAAAGGAGUCUGUAUUGAAAACAUGCACACGUCACGGAAGACACCUAUUUAGGCAAUCCCUAGCUGCUGGGCUGGCCCUGGGAGGUCUGCUGUCCUGUGGGUUGUAUCUCUGGCCUUGGCCUAACACACCCUAAACCAAUACAUGAAUGUUUCACUAAGAUCCUACAGCUAAGUGGGGUGUGUUGGGGUGGGGUGCUGCAGGGCAGUGGACCCCUAGGGGCAGGAUUGGGCAACCCAGCUAUAUUGUGGGAAAGUAAAAAGAGCAAUAAGAGCGUGUCAUCAGCCCGGUGAAACCUGUGCCGGCUCCACGCACCAGGCCUC